ACUCCUACGGGAGGCAGCAGUAGGGAAUCUUCCGCAAUGGACGAAAGUCUCACGAAGCAACGCCGCGUGCUCGAGGAAGGCUUUCGGGUCGUAGAACUCUGUUCUUAGGGAAGAACAUGUACGAGAGUAAAAAGCGGGUAUAUGAAGCUGCCAGCAACUACGUGCCAGCAGCCGCGGUAAU
rnacentral:rRNA from 1 species